UCUUUUAAACUUACCAUCUCCAGGGGAGUUGUCUGAGUUUUUUGUGGGGGAUGACCCAGGCCACACAGAGGCCUAUUGUGCAGGCACGGCAGCCUCCAAAAUGGCCACCACGCCAAGGGGGAAAGGCUGAAUAGUGGCUGAAGAGGGAACCCAGUGGGGGGAGGGGGAUCCUCCACAGACUCCCCCCCCCCCACUGCCUCGGACUACUCCCCUGGAGGAGGUAAGUUUUUUUAAAAAAAUUAAAUUUUAAAAAAACCCCAAACACAUGAACCUCCCUGGACCGAACUGAACUGGGGAGGGGGAUUCGAGGGGGCGCCGGUCCGAACUGUCCUGGUCCGAUUCAGGUCCAGGUCAGACUCAAACUGAACUAGACCAGCCAGUUCCAUGCACACCCCUAAACCUAACCUCAGCUAAAUGCCAGGUCCAAAACCCGGGCCUGGUGUGGUGCAGGGCCAAUAUCGGGCUCUGUCCUGGUGCUCCACGCAUGCAACCUAGCCAGGCUGUGCUGCCCUGGACUGGGCUAGGCUGGGCACAUUAAUACCUUUCCUAUCUAUAUAUACUGGCUUGAUCUACAAGCUCAGGAUCAGCAGAAAUCAACUUGAGAAAUUCUGCUAGACAUCUCAAAGUAGUUUUGGCUUCCCUCAAUACCCUUCAGAUGUUUGGCUUGUGGAGAAACCCACCCUCAACACUUGUUUCAUGUUUUGCUUUACAUGAAAUUUCAGUAGCAGCUCUAACUGAUGUGCAAGGUGAAGUCUGGAAAGAACUUGGACUCAUUUGGUGUGAAACCCACUAUACUGAUGAAAGAAUGCUAUUAGUAUUAAAGCAUCUAGUCCUGUUUGUUAAGCAAAAAACUUCAUUGCCAGAAUCCACCAUGGUGGAUGUUACCAGAACCUAAUGCUUCUUUUGUCAACACAUUCUACUUAGCAACUGACCUUCAGUUCUUCUGGGAAUAAUUAACAUCAGUGAUGAAAGAUAUUUGUGUAUUCAGAACUGUAUGAAUAAUAGGCUGAUGUUAGUUCCUGUCUAGCUGUAGCCUAGCCACAUUUGCUCUUGCACGGGAAGGAAUGCCAAAAAGUGAUUACGUGUAAUUUUAUACAAAUUAGAUUUUGCUCCUCGCAGCUCUCUGGCACACAGUGCCUGCUUGCUGUGGCUGUUGCUUUAACUUUUCUGGUGGGUCUUUAGGUUUCUAGGUCAAUGAAAGGUCAAUCUUCAACAAAAGUUGAGUGAUGGGUACAAAUGUGGCAGGAUGCUUGUAGUUGUCCUCUUGCCACACAGGAAACCAGUGCAUCUGUCCAGGGCUGCGCAAGUAAUUACCUAUAUGAACGUUCCAGCAUGGAUUCCAGGCAACAGAUCAAUCAUAAAUGACAACUCUUUUGUCUGAUUUUGUGCUGUACGUGGAGAAUGCACGUGUGCCACAUUCAGAAGCAUAGCUCAAACAAGAUUUAAAUGAACAGGCUUCUGUCAGCAGUCUAGCUGCUGCAUGUUGCACCAAUGGAAGUUCCUGGACACUUUUCAAGGGCAACAGAGAGGGGAGAAGAGGUGCUGAAUCGGAAUUCUUCCAGGUCUCCAGCAUGAUCAAAGCCUAACCACUUCUUUUCAUUGGCCACAUGCACAUGUAACAUGAAACUGGAGGUCAAGGGGCCUCCAGCUUCAAUUUUUGUUCAUCUGAAUGCAGGCUUCAGAUAAGGAAAGAAAAUGGACCCAUGGUUUCCCUCCCUGGACAGUGAUUUGUACCUUCGGUUUGUAGCGAGGUUCACUGCCUGGACCUCUGGUUCCGCGGUGCCAGUGUUACAUCCGAAUGCUGACACCACAGUCUGGUUGCUUUGCAACUGGAGUUAAGGGAGGAAGCUCCUCCCACACUCCAGCUGCUAUUGGCUGCCGGGGCUGUCCUUCAAUAAUGAAGGAAACCCAGGCAGCCAGUUCACCCUCCUCCUUGCAGCCAAUGAGACUGAAGAGAGGAAGCUCUUCUGAACAUCCAAAUUUGGAUAGGAGAGUGGUGGAGAGGGGGCUGGAACUGCUAAGGGAGGGGAGUUCCAUGUUAUGUGUGAAUGCCGCCAUGGUCUCUUCCAAGCCUCCAUGGAAAUAAAGCAAUAGGUCUCUGGGGUCUUGAAGAGACCAGAUCAGGACUGUUCUUAUAAAGUUGCACAGGCUGCCAGUAUGUUUCUGGGUGAAGUAUAAAGCGGCUAUUCACACGAUCAGCAAAAAUUGGGCUAGGAGAGCCUAGUCCAAUUUUUGCUAAUCAUGAGAAACCAAUGGGCUCAGCUGCGAGCCCGGUGGUUCUCGAGCGGAUAACCGACUCCUGUAGCCCUCCACAUAGCCCGGGUUUGUGGAGCGAGCGCUCCGCAAACCUGGACUAUCUGGUUAU